rnacentral:rRNA from 1 species
GACAGAGGGUGCAAACGUUGUUCGGAAUUACUGGGCAUAAAGAGCACGUAGGUGGUCUGCUAAGUCGUGUGUGAAAUCCCCCGGCUCAACCGGGGAAUUGCGCUCGAUACUGGCAGGCUCGAGGUGGGUAGGGGUGAGCGGAACUCCAGGUGGAGCGGUGAAAUGCGUAGAUAUCUGGAGGAACACCGGUGGCGAAAGCGGCUCACUGGACCAAAUCUGACACUGAGGUGCGAAAGCUAGGGUAGCAAACAGG